rnacentral:lncRNA from 1 species
AAAGUGUUGCGCAUGAUAUUGAAACUGUAGUUAUGCUUUGUCCUGUAUGUGGCUCUCUUGUGCCUCUUAAUUAUUUCUUUUAUAUUGCAAACAAAAGACAGCAUUUGCAGGAGAUCUAUAAACAGUCCUGCAUGUUUAAUUUGUUGCUCUUAAUGAAUUAUGUACUGUUCAUGCAGCUCUAGAGGAGAUAAAAAAGCACUUAACUAAAACGGCUGGAAGAGGCUGCAACCAGGGCUGGCAUUGUUAUCGAGGAGAAAAAUUGGCCACCUUUUUUCCCCAUUAUUCAUCAUGAUAUUGCAAAUGAGAUACCCAUCCACCUGCAGAGGUUGCAGUAUUUUGCAUUUACAUCAUUGUUCUACAUGAAUACUGUUUUGAAGCUUCCAUAUGUUUUGGCAUUAUGAAGCUACAGAAGGAAAAAUAGAAAUUUUCGUUAGAAAAUGUUUGAAAUAUAGUAGGAGCAACACCGUUCCAUGCUUGGUGAUAAUUAACUGUAUAUAUGUCAUAACACCGUUCUGUGCUUGGCGAUAAUUAACUAUAUAUAUGUUAUACUUGUUUAUUAAGUUUCUUGAAGCAAACGAUACUAGUUAGUACGUGUUCCAUAUAAUAGAGUGCAAUGAAGUAAUUAAACUAUAAAAUCUUUGACAAAGUCUCAGCAAAUCUGCAUGAAAUUAAUCCACUUGCUGCCAUGGCAAUCUUGAUUUUAAUUAUCAUCUCUUUUUACACAGUCUACCAGAAUUCUCAUACCUUCUUUUAAUUUGUUUCAUGCUAAGGUUACAUUAUUUUUGUGAGAGAAACAUCUCAAACUUUAAGUUUUUCAACUGCCCUGGAAGCUUUGAUGUAUGAAAAGCAGAAAAGCGAGGAUUGUUGACAGAUAUUAUAUUGACAGAACUAUAUAACUAUACUGAUUUGUUUUGAAUCCUUGAACUUCUCUGUAUGGGAAAGUAGGCAACUGAAUUAUAUCAAUCCAAAACAUAGCUGCCACUGAAUUUUUGUAAAGUUCGAUAAAGGAAAUUUAUGAAACUGACUUAUGUCAAUCUACACAUUGAAUAUCUGGCAAAAUGGUAAUGUUAUUGUCUAUUUAAAUUAUUUUCACAGGUUUAUAUGUGUGUUUCUAUAAGAUGAGCCUUCCUGCACAUGUAUAGUCAGGAUAUUGUUGAGUUAUAUCCUUAUGUGAUUUGUCUUAAAUAGUAAAGAGGAGAUUGAAGUGUAUAUUUUUUUGUUUCAUGAUAGAAGCAUCUCUUUUUCUAACUUUCUUUUAUGCGGUCAUAAAGGUUUGCAUAGAUAAUCUAGGCAUUGUGCAUUUUAUUUGCCUUGUCAUGCUGAGUAAUCUGUAGAACUAGCAUAUUGUGCAUGCCAAGUUGUGUAUGUAUAUGAAAGAAGAUUCAGAAGAAGAAUUGUCUUGUUGUUUUAUUUUUCAAAAGUGCUGGUCUGCAUGUUGUCCAGAUUGUUUUCUGUCACUGGGCCAGAAUUUUUUUGCUUACUGUCUUAUCAUGUUUGUGCCAUAUAGGAACUAAAACGGCUGGAAGAGGCUGCAACCAGGGGUAAUAUUUCAUCGUGCUGUUAAUUAUGAAGAUGACUUAUUUGAGGAUAUCUUUGUUGUAUUUUUAUUCAGCAAGUCCCUCUUCUUUUUACUUGAACAGUUGAAUUCUUUUGGUCAUUAGGAAGCUAAGGUAGAUUGAUUGUCAUUGUAGCCUAACUGUUUUUGCAGCUGGCAUUGUUAUCGAGGAGAAAAAUUGGCCACCUUUUUUCCCCAUUAUUCAUCAUGAUAUUGCAAAUGAGAUACCCAUCCACCUGCAGAGGUUGCAGUAUUUUGCAUUUACAUCAUUGUUAGG